rnacentral:lncRNA from 1 species
GUGUCACAGAGAGCAGAGACCAGGGCUAGGGGAAGAUGGAGCUAGUUCACAGCUGGAACCAAGUCUUUUUCUUUUGAGCCUUUCUUUUGUUUUCUUUCUUUUUUUCUGUUUUGGUUUUGGUUUUAGAGCCAGACUCUCACUCUGUAACCCAGGGGAAGAGGACGAAUAAACACACGACAAGAAGAGUCUAAAGAAAAAUGAAGAAACAAAAGUUGGCGUCAUCAGAGGACCUUGUCAUGGCAGAGUGUGGUGUCCACUCUGCCAAAGAGGAGACAAGACCUGCGCACUCCCAGCAUCUGUAGAUGCCCUGCCUCAGAUCAGAUCCUUCCCAGGCUGGAGUUCACUCCCUCUGCCUUGAAAGAGAAUCGUGGACCCUUCAUGUGUCCCCUACACCCCUCACUGUUGCUUGGUAACCUCGAAUCCUGAAGAGGAGACUGUUUCCAUUCAACCCACACUCACCAGGGAAAGAGGAUAACCUUAUUUGUUCGA